UAGGACCUUGGUUAGGCGAAGACGAGUUUCGCCCUACAAGAUUUUUCAAGGAAGCGGUCCCUGAUCACGGUGAGCAAGCUCACAUCACCAAAAGUGAUAAGUGAGAAGCCUGAAGUGGUUACUAACUGCAUCCACCUAGCAAAUGCUGGGCGGAACCUAAAGCCGGCCAAGGUCCUUU
rnacentral:other from 1 species